rnacentral:rRNA from 1 species
AACGAACGCUGGCGGCAGGCUCAACACAUGCAAGUCGAACGCAUCCUUCGGGGUGAGUGGCAGACGGGUGAGUAACGCGUGGGAACGUGCCCUUCAGUUCGGGAUAACCCAGGGAAACUUGGGCUAAUACCGGAUACGUGCGAGAGCAGAAAGAUUUAUCAAUGAAGGAUCGGCCCGCGGUUGAUUAGCUAGUUGGGGAGGCAAUGGCCCACCAAGGCGAGGAUCAGUAGCUGGUCUGCGAGGAUGAUCAGCCACAUUGGGACUGAGACACGGCCCAAACUCCUACGGAGGGCAGCAGUGGGGAAUAAUGGACACUGGGCGCAAGCCUGUUCCAGCCAUGCCGCGUGGGUUAUGAAGGCCUUAGUGUUGUAAAGCUCUUUCGUCCGGGACGAUAAUGACGGUACCGGAAGAAGAAGCCACGGCUAACUUCGUGCCAGCCGCCGCAGUAA